rnacentral:rRNA from 1 species
AGCAGCCGCGGUAAUUCCAGCUCCAAUAGCGUAUAUUAAAGUUGUUGCAGUUAAAAAGCUCGUAGUUGAAUUUCGGGAUCAAUAUGUCGGUCGUGCCUCGGUACGUACUGGCAUCAUUGGUUUCUCCCUUCUGAUGAACCAUGAUGCCAUUAAUUUGGUGUCGUGGGGAAUCAGGACUGUUACUUUGAAAAAGUUAGAGUGUUUAAAGCAGGCUCACGCUUGAAUACAUUAGCAUGGAAUAAUGAAAUAGGACGUUUGAUUCUAUUUUGUUGGUUUCUAGGAUCGACGUAAUGAUUAAUAGGGAUAGUUGGGGGCAUUAGUAUUCAAUUGUCAGAGGUGAAAUUCUUGGAUUUAUUGAAGACUAACUACUGCGAAAGCAUUUGCCAAGGAUGUUUUCAUUAAUCAAGAACGAAAGUUAGGGGAUCGAAGACGAUCAGAUACCGUCGUAGU